rnacentral:rRNA from 1 species
GGUUUACCUGUGUGACUGCGUACCUUUUGUAUAAUGGGUCAGCGACUUAUAUUCUGUAGCAAGGUUAACCGCAUAGGGGAGCCGGAGGGAAACCGAGUCUUAAUUGGGCGUUAAGUUGCAGGGUAUAGACCCGAAACCCGGUGAUCUAGCCAUGGGCAGGUUGAAGGUUGGGUAACACUAACUGGAGGACCGAACCGACUAAUGUUGAAAAAUUAGCGGAUGACCUGUGGCUGGGGGUGAAAGGCCAAUCAAACCGGGAGAUAGCUGGUUCUCCCCGAAAGCUAUUUAGGUAGCGCCUCGUGAAUUCAUCUCCGGGGGUAGAGCACUGUUUCGGCUAGGGGGCCAUCCCGGCUUACCAACCCGAUGCAAACUGCGAAUACCGGAGAAUGUUAUCACGGGAGACACACGGCGGGUGCUAACGUCCGUCGUGAAGAGGGAAACAACCCAGACCGCCAGCUAAGGUCCCAAAGUCAUGGUUAAGUGGGAAACGAUGUGGGAAGGCCCAGACAGCCAGGAUGUUGGCUUAGAAGCAGCCAUCAUUUAAAGAAAGCGUAAUAGCUCACUGGUCGAGUCGGCCUGCGCGGAAGAUGUAACGGGGCUAAACCAU